GACAAGUAGCUUUUGUGAAUGAAGAACAACCAACCAUCUAAGUAAAUGUUUUUGCUUGAUCAUCGGUGAUGCAGUAAAAGCCGUCUAUUUUUUUUGGCAUGUUCCGUGUUCCACCCUCCUUCAUGGCUACACAGCAAAGGCCGAGUCUUGAUCGUGUACGCGUUGGGACAAAAGAAAAAAAGAGCCGUGUAUACCUCCAAUGAAGUGAAGAGGAAGCUUCCUUUUUAGAGUCAUUAACCGAGAGAGUGACAGUAGUCAUUGACCCGAACAGAAGUCAUCACAGCAUUGUUUUCUUACCUUAGAGGGUGUACCGAGGUUGGUAGUAGCUUCCAGAGUUUCCAUCUUCUGCAAUCCAGUGGAGAGGUGAAGACAGACAACGGGAUCACGGAUGCUGAUGGCGAUUCUGCUGCUGCUGGCGUACUGAUAUAUCAUCUCAAACGCAGGAAGCUGUGAAGUCAUGUCGACAUGUUACGAAGUGUUCUUGAGCUUUAGAGGACCAGAUACGCGCUCGGACAUUGCUGAUAUCCUGUAUACCGGUCUCAUUGAUGCUGGAAUUCGAGCAUACAGAGACGAUGAAGAGCUUCGUACCGGGGAAGAGAUCGGUCCAAUGCUUCUCCAAGCAAUUGAGCAGUCGAAAAUCUCGAUGCCCAUCUUCUCCAAAGGUUAUGCCGACAGCAAGUGGUGUCUUAUGGAGUUGGUACAGAUGGCGGAGUGCAAGAGAGCUACAGGGCAGAAGAUCAUGCCCAUUUUCUUCGACGUCAGGCCAUCUGAGGUUCGAAACCAAACUGGGGAUUACGGGGAAGCCUUUGCUUCGCACGUGAGGAAGGAGCAGUUUGAUGAAAACACCCUCCAUGGUUGGAAAGCUGCCCUCAAUGAGGUUGGAGCAUUAAAGGGAUGGGAUUUCCAAAGCAAUCCGAACAGAGGUAAAGGUGAGUUUGCAAAAGAAGUUGUCAACAAGGUUUUGAUUGAGCUGAGAAAGGCCUACUUAGAAGUAUCUGAUUGCUUGGUUGAAAUGGACGAUCAUGUGAGUGAAAUAAUGAGAAUGGUAGGCGCUGACACCAAUGAAACUACGAUUGUCGGAAUCCACGGCAUGGGUGGUGUUGGGAAGACGACGUGUGCCAAAAUCGUCUACAACCAACUCUCCCAUCAUUUUGAAGAUUGUUGCUUCCUUUCCAACAUCCGAGAAACUUCACAGCAGAAGGGUAUUGAGUAUUUGCAGAAUCAGCUCAUCUCUAGGCUCCUUAGAAAGAAAGGGCUAGACAUCGAUAAUAUGGAUGAAGGGAUUGCGAUGAUUAAGCAGAGGUUAUCCUCUAAAAGAGUUCUCCUUCUACUGGAUGAUGUCGACAAAAGGAUUCAACUGGAUGCUCUCCUGGGGAAGCACAUAUUGUUUGGCAAAGGAAGCAAGCUUAUCAUUACAGCUAGAAACACGGAUGUUCUUACUGUGCCCCAAGUUGACUGGACUUAUGAACUCCCCUGCAUGGAUUUUGACCAUUCUCUGCAACUUUUCAGCAGACAUGCAUUUAGAAGAGAUUAUCCUUUGGAGGAGUACCUCCCUAACUCCGUAAAGGCCGUAAAGAUUAGUGGCGGUCUACCUUUGACUCUUGAGGUUAUAGGUUCACUUUUAUCUGGAAAAAGCAGAGCACUAUGGGAUAUCACAUUAAAGAAGCUGGAAAGAGUUCUUCAUGAGGAUGUAAAACAGAAGUUGAAGAUCAGUUUUGAGGCAUUAGAUGAUAGACAAAAGAACAUAUUCCUUGAUAUUGCCUGUUUCUUCAUAGGUUGCGAUAAAAGAACUGCGAUCCAUAUGUGGGAAAGUUGCGAGCUUUUUCCUGAAGAAGCCAUUGAAGUCCUCCAACAGAUGUCUUUAAUAAAAAUUAGAGAAGACAACUGUAUCUGGAUGCAUGAUCAGCUAAGAGACCUUGGACGUGAAAUCAUUCAUCAAGAGUCUGCUAUGAAAUUAGAGAACCAAAGCAGAGUAUGGAAUCAUGAGGCAGCGUCCGAUGUUCUCAUGAGAACGAAGGGAGUAGAAAAUGUUGAAGCAAUUUGUCUCAAGUUUGAGCAUGGUUGUAAAUACCGCAUUACAUAUGAAGCAUUUGCAAGUCUGUCAAACCUAAGGUUCCUGCAAUUGGACGGCGCAAACUUUGAUGAGACAGGCACGAUCCUACAUUGUUUUGCUCAAUUUAGUUCUUUUCGGUGUGAUUGCAGCUGGAAUGUUCUUCCAGCCAGUUUUUCCCGUAAUAGUCCAUGCAUCCUUCCGAUGUUGAGAUGGCUUUCAUGGCAUAACUUUCCUGCAAAUUUUGAGCUGACCACUCUUUCCCUGACAAAGCUAGUGAUUCUUGAUCUAUCAAGGAGUAAAAUUACAGAAAAAUGGAGUGGAUGGAGCCACAUCAAGGUGGCAAAGAAUUUAAAGGUUCUCAAUCUGACUGGAUGCAAAAACUUAAAAGGAACGCCCAAUUUCUCAUCUCUUGUAUAUUUAGAGAGACUAGUUCUUGAAGGAUGUCAGAAAUUGGUCCAUAUUGAUGGAUCUAUCGGUAAACUAAAGCAGUUAGUUUUCUUAAACUUGAAUUCCUGCGUUAAACUCAGCAUGUUGCCUGAUGAGCUUGGGAAACUAGAAGCUUUAACAGAAAUUCUUGUGGAUGGCACAUCAAUAAAAGAAAUUCCCAAAUGGAAAGGAAUGAAGAAACUAGAAAUUCUCAGUGCUCGUAAUUGUAAAUAUUUGAAUAAUUGUAGUUCCAUUGGGAACUUGCGACCACUAGUCGAGUUGGAUCUGUCCCACUCACCUAUUCAAAUGCUACCUUCUUCAUUAGGGAACAUGAAGAAUUUGAAAGUAUUGAGAAUACGUUGUAGUCUCUUAAGAGAACUACCCAGUGCCAUUGGACUGUUGGAUAAGCUUGAAGAGUUAGAUGCUGACUGCUGUGGAUAUUUGGAAGGGGAAAUUCCAAGCAGUAUCGGGAGAUUAAAGUUUCUAAGGGUCUUGAGACUGACAUACACUAAUGUUUCCGGAUUCCCUAAGCUUCCUGAAAGUCUGACCAGUCUGCACUUUGGCUCUUGGUCAAUGAAGACAUUGCCAGAUCUCUCAAACCUGUUGAACUUAAGAGAUUUGCGUUUGCUUUUGUGGAGUUCUAUAAUGGACCCUUUGGAACUUGAGAGAGCUUCCAGUCGUUGGAGGAUUGGAACUUUACACAAGCUAGAGUCCAUAUUUCUGGAAUCUCCUUACGUGACCACCCUAUCUUCAGACCUCAUUCUCCUUUCUCAACUCAAGGAACUUGACCUCCGGUGCCGGAACCUCAAAUCCCUCCAGUGGGUUCCCGCAAGUUUGUCGCGCUUAGUUAUCAAAGGUUGUUGGGAAAUGAAGACAUCAAUAAACCUUUCAAACUCGAGGGCCCUAGCAGAUUUGGAAGUUGUCAGUUGUGAAAUACAAGGGAUUCAAGGUCUCGAAGGCUUGGAGAACCUGAGAUCAUUGAAGCUGGUUGCAGUUCCAUCACUGGAGAAAUUGCCUGACCUCACUACCUUAAAAAAGCUCAUGAAACUUGAACUGCGUAAUUGUCCUAAACUGGUUGAGAUUGAAGGCAGACUACAAUCUUUGAAGAUACUUCGUAUUGAGUCCUGCAGAUAUCUGGAAAAGUUACCUGUUCCAUCAAGCUUAGAAAGGCUCGAAUAUUUGGGGAUAAUUAAGUGCGAGAAGCUAAAAGAUUUGCUGGGAUCUGAUGAUUGGAGGACUUUGAGGACGCGACUUAAGUCUGAACCAGACAAGUAAAUAUGUCAAGCCAAGGAAUCAAAACUAGUUGGAGUUGGCAGGUAAAGAGAAACGGACAACUGGUUGUCUAAUUGUCAAUGAAGAUUGGUUUCUAUUACUUAUAAUGUGAUGGCUACUCUGCUCGCCACAGUUCCUUCAUUUCUUAUGUAACAUGGUUGUCCAUGUGAAAACACUAUCAUUAUCAUUAUGGUAGUCUCGCUGUUCAAAUA